rnacentral:rRNA from 1 species
UGCAGUCGAACGAUGAAGCCUAGCUUGCUGGGUGGAUUAGUGGCGAACGGGUGAGUAACACGUGAGUAACCUGCCCUUGACUCUGGGAUAAGCACUGGAAACGGUGUCUAAUACCGGAUAUUUCAGCUGGCCGCAUGGUCUGGUUGUGGAAAGAAUUUUGGUCAAGGAUGGACUCGCGGCCUAUCAGGUUGUUGGUGAGGUAAUGGCUCACCAAGCCUACGACGGGUAGCCGGCCUGAGAGGGUGACCGGCCACACUGGGACUGAGACACGGCCCAGACUCCUACGGGAGGCAGCAGUGGGGAAUAUUGCACAAUGGGCGAAAGCCUGAUGCAGCAACGCCGCGUGAGGGACGACGGCCUUCGGGUUGUAAACCUCUUUUAGUAGGGAAGAAGCGAAAGUGACGGUACCUGCAGAAAAAGCACCGGCUAACUACGUGCCAGCAGCCGCGGUAAUACGUAGGGUGCAAGCGUUGUCCGGAAUUAUUGGGCGUAAAGAGCUCGUAGGCGGUUUGUCGCGUCUGCUGUGAAAACUGGAGGCUCAACCUCCAGCCUGCAGUGGGUACGGGCAGACUAGAGUGCGGUAGGGGAGAUUGGAAUUCCUGGUGUAGCGGUGGAAUGCGCAGAUAUCAGGAGGAACACCGAUGGCGAAGGCAGAUCUCUGGGCCGUAACUGACGCUGAGGAGCGAAAGCAUGGGGAGCGAACAGGAUUAGAUACCCUGGUAGUCCAUGCCGUAAACGUUGGGAACUAGAUGUGGGGGCCAUUCCACGGUCUCCGUGUCGCAGCUAACGCAUUAAGUUCCCCGCCUGGGGAGUACGGCCGCAAGGCUAAAACUCAAAGGAAUUGACGGGGGCCCGCACAAGCGGCGGAGCAUGCGGAUUAAUUCGAUGCAACGCGAAGAACCUUACCAAGGCUUGACAUAUACGAGAACGGGCCAGAAAUGGUCAACUCUUUGGACACUCGUAAACAGGUGGUGCAUGGUUGUCGUCAGCUCGU